GGAGAGAUGGCCGAGUGGCUUAAGGUACUCGCUUGGAAAGCGAGCGUAUGUGAAAGCAUACCGCGGGUUCGAAUCCCGCUUUCUCCGCCA
rnacentral:tRNA from 1 species